rnacentral:rRNA from 1 species
CCUACGGGAGGCAGCAGUGGGGAAUAUUGGACAAUGGGCGAAAGCCUGAUCCAGCAAUGCCGCGUGAGUGAUGAAGGCCUUCGGGUCGUAAAGCUCUUUUACCAGGGAUGAUAAUGACAGUACCUGGAGAAUAAGCUCCGGCUAACUCCGUGCCAGCAGCCGCGGUAAUACGGAGGGAGCUAGCGUUGUUCGGAAUUACUGGGCGUAAAGAGUACGUAGGCGGUUAUUCAAGUCAGAGGUGAAGGCCCGGGGCUCAACCCCGGAACUGCCUUUGAAACUAGAUAACUAGAGUCUUGGAGAGGUUAGUGGAAUUCCGAGUGUAGAGGUGAAAUUCGUAGAUAUUCGGAAGAACACCAGUGGCGAAGGCGACUAACUGGACAAGUACUGACGCUGAGGUACGAAAGCGUGGGGAGCAAACAGGAUUAGAUACCCUGGUAGUCCACGCCGUAAACGAUGAUAACUAGUUGUUCGGUCACUUGGUGACUGAGUGACGCAGCUAACGCAUUAAGUUAUCCGCCUGGGGAGUACGGUCGCAAGAUUAAAACUCAAAGGAAUUGACGG